rnacentral:sRNA from 1 species
AUUCUAAAAGUUCGAUGAAAUGUUGAUUUCAUGUGAAACUUGUCUGUUCGAGUUGUGAAUUCAGCUAUUGAGACAGUGAAAAGAGCAGUUAUUCCACAAGAUCCAGCUAUUGAGACAGUGAAAAGAGCAGUUAUUCCACAAGAUCAGAACUAGACAAGAACACUUCCAACCUGUAAAAUCUUAUUUUGUACUAUUGGCUGUAAUGACAAUAUGCGGACUAUGAGAUGUAUUUGUAGUAUGCAAUAUCCGUUGUGAUUUUUGCAUAACAAGCAGCUGAUUAUAUUUUAUUAUUCAUCUUGCAUUGUC